rnacentral:tRNA from 2 species
GCGGUCAUGGCGGAAUGGUAGACGCGCCAGCUUGAGGUGCUGGUGGGGGCAACCCCGUGGAAGUUCGAAUCUUCUUGACCGCACCA